GCUCAAAACUAACCCCCAUAAAUUCAAAUGACAACACUUAAUAAAUAAAACCAAACAAAACAUUUUACAAGCUAAGUAAAGGCGAUUGAAAAGCACUUAGGAGCCUUAACAUUAGUACCGCAAGGGAACAGUGAAAUAAAAAUGAAAUAAAUUUUAAGCUCAAUAAAGUACCCAUAACCCCCCGUACCUUUUGCAUCAUGGUCUGACUAGUAAAAUCAAGCAAAAUGAACUUUAAGUUUGACCCCCCGAAAUUAAGCGAGCUACUUAAAAACAGCCUAAAGGGCCAACCCGUCCCUGUUGCAAUAGGGUGGGAAGAUUUUUAAGUAGAGGUGAUAAACCUAUCGAGCUUAAAGAUAGCUGGUUAUUCAAGAAACGGAUAUAAGUCCAACUUAAAAUUUUUAUAAAAACCAAAAUACACUAAUAAAUUUUAAAUUCACUCAAAUAAGGUACAGCCUAUUUGAAACAGGAUACAACCUACAAUAGAGGGUAACACCUUAAAAAUAUGAUUAAGUUGACCUAAGAGCAGCCAUCUUUCAAAAAGCGUUAAAGCUUUAUCAUACAGCACCACUAAUUCCCACCCAAACCUGAAACCCCUUAUCAAUAUUGAAUGACUCCAUAACAAUAUGGAAAACUCUAUGUCUGAACUAGUAACAAGAACAACCUCUCCAAUAAACGUAAGUAUAGGCCAGAAUAAUACUGACACCUACCGCCAAUAAGCCCACAGUAACAACUAAACAAGAAAACCUUACUUCUCAUGGCGUUAACCUUACACUAGAACCUUUCUGGAAAGAUUAAAAAAAGAGGAAGGAACUCGGCAAAUAUUAACCCCGCCUGUUUACCAAAAACAUCGCCUUCUGGUACACUAUAGAAGGUCUAGCCUGCCCAGUGAUAAACUUAAACGGCCGCGGUAUCUUAACCGUGCAAAGGUAGCAUAAUCACUUGUCCCCUAAAUAGAGACUGGUAUGAAUGGCAUCACGAGGGUUAUACUGUCUCCCCCCUUUAAUCAGUGAAACUAAUCUCCCCGUGAAGAAGCGGGGAUAACCCUAUAAGACGAGAAGACCCCAUGGAGCUUAAAACAAAUAUUACUUAUAUCAUUUCACACCACCUAAGCACAACAAGCUAAUCAUUAGUUUUUGGUUGGGGCAACCACGGAGUAAAACCAAAUCUCCACGAUGAAAGAAAUAUCCACUUCUAAUCAAAGAGCCACCCCUCACAGAAUCAAAAUAUUGACCAAGCGACCCAAUAAAAUUGAGCAACGAACCAAGUUACCCUGGGGAUAACAGCGCAAUCCAUUUUAAGAGCCCCUAUCGACAAAUGGGUUUACGACCUCGAUGUUGGAUCAGGGUACCCCAGUGGUGCAGUCACUACUAAAGGUUC
rnacentral:rRNA from 1 species